CCGCCAGGUGAAACUCAUGUCCUUUGAUUUCAGGUAGUUUAGUGUUGGACAAACAAACCAGAGCGGACACUGCCAUCAAACUGUGAACUAAACUUCCUCUAGAGCUCUGUCAACAAAGAAACAAACUGACUGACUGUCAAAACAACAAAUAAACAAGUGCAGAUGGACGGUAAUGGAUGCUUCGCCUUCAUGAAAGAAAGAAGAAUGAACUACAAAUGAACUGGACCACAACCCAAACCCUCCAGACCCGUUCAGACCUGAACCACCUUGGUCCCACUCGGUUUGUCUUGACUGAUCCAGAGACCUUGAGUGAGACGGGAGGAUGGAGGUAGAGAUGAGGGGGAAGGAGGAGAUGCAGACACGUCACUGAGUGAGAGAAGUCCAACUGAAAGUCUACAGGAAAGAAAAAAACUUAAAUCCACUGAAGUGAAGAGGACGGAGGGAAGAAGGUGAUCUUCUGAGUCCUGUGUGAUUAAAACAAAAGUGUAUCAGUCGUCAAGGCAGCAAACGGAAGUUGAGCAGCUACUCUGUCAGAAGAUCAACUAUCUAACUCAGGGUUCAACUUGCCUGGUCCCUGUACUCUCACAUCCUCCAACUCCACCGUGAACCUCCUUCUGGAUGCAGAUCUACAGAACAAAGAGCAGGUUGAGAAAUGAUUUUGUCUGUUCAGCAUCAUUUUACACGACUCCAUCACAUACAACUUCAAGCGGUGUAGCAUGCUGCAGUAUAUUAAGCUCAAACUACACUUCUGAGGAAAAAAAACUAAACGAUUCGAUCUACAGUUUGUCUGCAGUGUACGUUCUCGAAAACUAGUGAUUCUAGUGAUUCUUUUCUUGAUCUCCUCUUUGUCGCCUGUGUGUGCGCACACCAACGCAAACAGAAAAUACCACGUGUUCCUUCGUGUGCACCACUUCUCCUCGCUAAGCCUCACAUUAUACACACGGCUGUGUGCAGCAGCAAAACAAGACCAAAGAAUCUCAGCUGCCAAGUAUUAAUAGAUAUUUUUAGGUGGAUUUCGGCAUAACGUAGACUUACACCUCAAUAUACGGAGAGUUCUACUGCAAAAAUGACGCUUAUAUUUGCAAAAAUAUAAUGAUUAGGAAGAGAUUGCACUGUUUUAGUUCAGAUAACUAACGUUUUAGUGACAUUUGUCCCUUCUGGGUAUCCAUAAGUCUUUGCUGUUGCUGUAUUUCUCAGAUUUUUGAACGCUUCACUGACAGCGCAGAACAUAAAAAUGACACGUCGUACCAAACAAAGACGUUUGAAAUGUCAAAUCUAAAGAAAGGGAAACGGCAAACCUGUUGAAGGGCCGACGUGACACGGCUUUUCUUUACCAUGGGAGACACCAUAUGUUUCUUUAAAACAGGCUGAAAGCGCCGAGUAUCGUGAGCGGCACAUUUAGACAGACUGAGACAAAGAGAGAACAUGAGUGAAAAUGAUUCAGAGGAGAGCUGUUAAGAGAAGGAGUCGGGCCACGAUGUUGUUAUUACAGAUUAAUAUACUCUUCAGGUCCUUUUAUUCAAACGGCUCACCUCUCAAAAUCAGAUGCUCGGAGCUCUUUGAUGACUACUUUGAGCUAAAUGCGUGUUAUUACAGGUAUUACAUGAAAUUGCCCGUGUUAGGUGAAGGGGAUUAUGGUGCUUUUCGGUCAAUACUUCCUCUGAGCUGUUUGGCUGCUGGAGCUGAGCAGCGAUUAGGCUUUUGUCUGUCAAUCCGACUUCAUAGAGGCGGUUAUCACACACACACGAGCAGAUACACAUAACCACCACCUUCUGUCGCACGCACACACACACACUUGUGUAGAAACCGCAGUGAUUAUGGUCUGUAGGUAUCGGGCCCAUUCAGCGUGCUGAGAGGUGUCAGAGCUAGACCUCCACCUCUCCACACACACUAACACACAGUGUGACAUGGUGAAAGAUGGAAAAUGUGUUUGAUCGGCUCAAAUGUCACAAAGACUCUUUGCUGAGUGGACUUCAUGCGCUGUACAUAAUCAUGUAUAUAUGUUAUCAACCAUUUUCAAUAUUUUAUUUUAUUGUCAGAGUUAUCAGUGCGACAGUAAUGUUUGUUACUGUAGUAGAAGAUCACCAUCGAGAGGACGGAGUUUAGUAGCCCUGCCGCAUGUUUACCAUUAUUAUUUAGUAUCUUAUUAGUUAUGAUUAAGACACGAGUCGUUACAUUCACAGUCAUCAUUCAAGAUUGUAACAAACUUACUGCAAACUGCUGUUAGAAACUGAUAAUAAACCUGAUCAGCCACUCAGUAAUCAAUACACAACCAUUAAUCAAACCAAUAACGAAGUCAGACAACCUUAUCAUACUUAAUAGUCCGGGGAACAACAAAUCAUUACAUGACCAUUAAACAUAAUGGACGUCAUGUGUCGGCAGUCUUGUUAAUUUGGCAUCGAUGUCAUCGAGGAUUAUGCGACCAUGAACCAGCGAGGUGAAGUGUUCUUGGAUCAGUGGACAUUCAACGUCGGCUUCUAAACUUCCUGUUUGGCACUAAAAAGAGCGCACCUACCGUCUGAUAGGAUUCAACAAGACAAGACAAAGCUACAAAGCUCAGAAGCUGGUGUUCAAACAUGUUUAU